UAGGGAAUCUUCCACAAUGGACGCAAGUCUGAUGGAGCAACGCCGCGUGAGUGAAGAAGGUUUUCGGAUCGUAAAGCUCUGUUGUUGGUGAAGAAGGAUAGAGGUAGUAACUGGCCUUUAUUUGACGGUAAUCAACCAGAAAGUCACGGCUAACUACGUCCCAG
rnacentral:rRNA from 1 species